rnacentral:rRNA from 1 species
GAAGGUGAAGUCGUAACAAGGUCUCCGUUGGUGAACCAGCGGAGGGAUCAUUACUGAGUUUACGCUCUAUAACCCUUUGUGAACAUACCUAUAACUGUUGCUUCGGCGGGUAGGGUCUCCGCGACCCUCCCGGCCUCCCGCCUCCGGGCGGGUCGGCGCCCGCCGGAGGAUAACCAAACUCUGAUUUAACGACGUUUCUUCUGAGUGGUACAAGCAAAUAAUCAAAACUUUUAACAACGGAUCUCUUGGUUCUGGCAUCGAUGAAGAACGCAGCGAAAUGCGAUAAGUAAUGUGAAUUGCAGAAUUCAGUGAAUCAUCGAAUCUUUGAACGCACAUUGCGCCCGCCAGCAUUCUGGCGGGCAUGCCUGUUCGAGCGUCAUUUCAACCCUCAAGCUCUGCUUGGUGUUGGGGCCCUACAGCUGAUGUAGGCCCUCAAAGGUAGUGGCGGACCCUCCCGGAGCCUCCUUUGCGUAGUAACUUUACGUCUCGCACUGGGAUCCGGAGGGACUCUUGCCGUAAAACCCCCCAAUUUUCCAAAGGUUGACCUCGGAUCAGGUAGGAAUACCCGCUGAACUUAAGCAUAUCAAUAAGCGGAGGA